rnacentral:rRNA from 1 species
UACAGAGGUGGCAACCGUUGUUCGGAAUUACUGGGCGUAAAGGGCGCGUAGGCGGUCUUGUAAGUCCCGUGUGAAAUCCCUCGGCUCAACUGAGGAACUGCACGGGAAACUGCUUGGCUUGAGUUUGGGAGAGGGAUGCGGAAUUCCAGGUGUAGCGGUGAAAUGCGUAGAUAUCUGGAGGAACACCGGUGGCGAAGGCGGCAUCCUGGACCAACACUGACACUGAGGAGCGAAAGCCAGGGGAGCAAACGGG